rnacentral:tRNA from 1 species
GGCGGAACUGGCAGACGCACAGGACUUAAAAUCCUGCGAAGGGUAACCUUCGUACCGGUUCGAUCGAAUCCUGCAGGGU